GAUUAUACCUAUUCGAAGGGAUAGGGUCGUUCGGCCGGAUUUUACACAGGUGUUGCAUGGCUGUCGUCAGCUCGUGCGUGAGAUGUUGGGUUAAGUCCCGCAACGAGCGCAACCCUCAUCCUUAGUUGCCAUCAGGUAAUGCUGAGCACUUAAGGAAACUGCCAGUGAUAAGCUGGAGGAAGAUGGGGAUGAUGUCAAGUCAUCAUGGCCUUAUGAAGUGGGCUACACGUGCUACAAUGGUGUCUACAGUGGGCUGCAAGGUGCGCAAGCUAAGCUAAUCCCUAAAAGACAUCUCAGUCGGAUUGUACUCUGCAACUCGAGUGCAUGAGUUGGAAUCGCUAGUAAUCGUGGAUCAGCAUGCCACGGUGAAUAGCUCUCGGGUCUUGUACACACUGCCCGUC
rnacentral:rRNA from 1 species